AUUUCUGGUGAGAUGCGAAACCCUAUAUGCUCGUUGCCAAAGGAUGUCCGAAAGUGUGAAAAAGGGAACCUGAUUAAUCGGUGGUACUUCGACUCGGGCAUGGCAGCCUGUCGACAAUUUCUUUAUGAUGGUUGUGCGGGAAAUGCCAACAGAUUUGAAACCUGCGAGCAGUGCAACAAGGCUUGUGAUACUGUCGUAUGUGCGAAAGACCCACCUGCACGGAGAACGUUCGGCAGAUGGAGAAAACACCACAAAAAGCGAACACAUCAUAGACGGCAUCAUAGAGACUACGACAGUGGGAGUGCGGAAUACUGAAAGUCCUCAGCACCACAACCACUCAACUGUCCGAGGUUUAACAACGACCACUUGGGGGUAUGGAACCAGCAGUUUUGCUAAUAAAGAGAUUCAUCUAUUGUG
rnacentral:lncRNA from 1 species